rnacentral:rRNA from 1 species
UGGUGUAGCAAUACAUCAGAGUUUGAGCGGCGCAAGGGUGCGUAACACGUGGGUAACUUGCCGUGAAGUUGGGGAUAACUCGCUGAAAGGCGAGCUAAUACCGGAUGUGGUUUCGGAGUGGCAUCAUUCUGCAACUAAAGCUGGGGAUCGUAAGACCUGGCGCUUCAUGAUAAGCCCGCGGCCUAUCAGCUAGUUGGUGAGGUAACGGCUCACCAAGGCUAAGACGGGUAGCUGGUCUGAGAGGACGACCAGCCACACUGGAACUGAGACACGGUCCAGACACCUACGGGUGGCAGCAGUCGAGAAUUUUUCUCAAUGGGCGCAAGCCUGAAGGAGCGACGCCGCGUGGGGGAUGAAGGGUUUCGAUCCGUAAACCCCUGUCAUUUGUGAACAAUGGUUACUAUUUAAAAGAUGGUGACUUGAUAGUAAUGAAAGAGGAAGGGACGGCUAACUCUGUGCCAGCAGCCGCGGUAAUACAGAGGUCCCAAGCGUUG